GUAAACGAUGAGUGCUAAGUGUUGGAGGGUUUCCGCCCUUUCAGUGCUGCAGCUAACGCAUUAAGCACUCCGCCUGGGGAGUACGACCGCAAGGUUGAAACUCAAAGGAAUUGACGGGGGCCCGCACAAGCGGUGGAGCAUGUGGUUUAAUUCGAAGCAACGCGAAGAACCUUACCAGGUCUUGACAUCCUCUGACAACCCUAGAGAUAGGGCUUUCCCUUCGGGGACAGAGUGACAGGUGGUGCAUGGUUGUCGUCAGCUCGUGUCGUGAGAUGUUGGGUUAAGUCCCGCAACGAGCGCAACCCUUGUCGUUAGUUGCCAUCAUUCAGUUGGGCACUCUAGCGAGACUGCCGGUGACAAACCGGAGGAAGGUGGGGAUGACGUCAAAUCAUCAUGCCCCUUAUGACCUGGGCUACACACGUGCUACAAUGGACGGUACAACGAGCAGCGAACUCGCGAGGGCAAGCGAAUCUCUUAAAGCCGUUCUCAGUUCGGAUUGCAGGCUGCAACUCGCCUGCAUGAAGCCGGAAUCGCUAGUAAUCGUGGAUCAGCAUGCCACGGUGAAUACGUUCCCGGGCCUUGUACACACCGCCCGUCACACCACGAGAGUUUGUAACACCCAAAGUCGGUGCGGUAACCUUUUGGAGCCAGCCGCCUAAGGUGGGAUAGAUGAUUGGGGUG
rnacentral:rRNA from 1 species